UACGAAAGGGGCUAGCGUUGUUCGGCAUUACUGGGCGUAAAACGCACGUAGGCGGCUUGGUAAGUUGGGGGUGAAAUCCCAGGGCUCAACCCUGGAACUGCCUCCAAAACUGCUAGGCUAGAGGAUGCGAGAGGUUGGCGGAAUUCCGAGUGUAGAGGUGAAAUUCGUAGAUAUUCGGAAGAACACCAGUGGCGAAAGCGGCCAACUGGCGCAUUUCUGACGCUGAGGUGCGAAAGCGUGGGGAGCAAACAGG
rnacentral:rRNA from 1 species